CGCGGCGGCGCUGCGGAGGCUCCGGGCAGGAGGCGCGGGACGAGGAGGGUGCGGGUCCUGCGGGGCCUCCCGCGCGAGCCGAGCGGUUUGCUGGCGCGCAUGGCGGGCUGCCUGCCUCCCUGCGUGGCGGACUGCGGCACCGGGUACACCAAGCUUGGCUACGCGGGCAACACUGAGCCCCAGUUCAUUGUUCCUUCAUGUAUUGCUGUCAGAGAGUCGGCAAAGGUAGUUGACCAAGCACAAAGGAAGGUGUUGAGGGGCGUGGAUGAUCUGGACUUUUUCAUUGGGGAUGAAGCCAUCGAUAAACCCACAUACGCCACCAAGUGGCCAAUAAGACAUGGAAUAAUCGAAGACUGGGAUCUUAUGGAAAGGUUCAUGGAACAUGUGAUUUUUAAAUAUCUUCGAGCUGAACCUGAGGAUCAUUACUUCUUACUGACAGAACCUCCGCUGAACACACCAGAAAAUAGAGAAUAUCUUGUAGAAAUUAUGUUUGAAUCUUUUAAUGUGCCAGGACUCUACACUGCAGUUCAGGCAGUGCUGCCCUUGGCGGCGUCCUGGACGUCUCGGCAGGUCGGCGAGCGCACGCUGACCGGCAUCAUCAUCGACAGCGGGGACGGGGUCACCCACGCCAUCCCAGUGGUAAGCAGACUGUCAGUGCUUCUCUUUGUAGGACUCACCGGAAGAGAGACUGUGGGAAGCCACAUCUUCUUACUUCCGGACGGUAGGCACGUCAGAAAGGAACCCGGGGGCUCAGCAGCUUGUCCUGGCGCCCUCCCGUGGCUCUGCCUGGUGGCUGUCGCCACAGAGCGCAGUCCGUGGUCCCUGCCAGGCCCUCCGUGGCCCAGGGCGUGGGGCAGGGAAGCAUGCUGUCCUGGGGACGAGUGCCACGUCCUUUCCUGUGACCCUGUGGUGGAAGGUUACGUAAUCGGAAGCUGCAUCAAACACAUCCCGAUCGCAGGUAGAGAUAUUACGUAUUUCAUUCAACAGCUGCUAAGGGAGCGGGAGGUGGGAAUCCCUCCUGAGCAGUCACUGGAGACCGCAAAAGCCAUUAAGGAGAAGUACUGUUACACCUGUCCUGACAUCGUCAAGGAAUUUGCCAAGUACGACCUGGAUCCCGGGAGCUGGAUGAAGCAGUACACAGGCAUCAAGGCCAUCAGCCAGAGGAAGUUCCUGGUGGAUGUGAGCUACGAGCGGUUCCUGGGCCCCGAGAUUUCCUUCCGCCCCGCGUUUGCCAACCCGGAUUUUAUGGAGUCCAUCUCGGAUGUUGUUGACGAAGUGAUACAGAACUGUCCCAACCAUGUACGUCGUCUGCUCUACAAGAACGUUGUGCUUUCGGGAGGCUCCACAGUGUUCAGAGACUUUGGGCGGCGGCUGCAGCGAGACUUGAAAAGGGUGGUGGAUGCCAGACUGCGACUCAGCCGAGAGCUCAGCGGUGGCAGAGUAAAGCCAGGCCGGUGGAGGUGAGGGUGACCCCGCACCGCAUGCAGCGCUUCGCCGUGCGGUUCCGCGGCUCCGUGCUCGCCUCCACCCCCGGGUUCCUGCAGGCCUGCCACACCAAGAAGGACUACGAGGAGUGCGGCCCCAGCAUCUGCUGCCACAGCCUCGUCUUCGGAGUCCUGUCCUAGGGCCAGCCUGGCCCUGGGCCUGUGGUCGCCUUGUGAGCCAGCUGUCUUUCAGACCCUGCGAGGGGCCAGCAGUGAUGCGGGUGUUGGGGGUACGAGGCAGCAGCGCAGGUGGAGCCCCCGUGCCUCGUGCCCUCCUGCCUCCCCAACCCGCUCCAGCUGGCUUCUGGGAUGCCGGGAGCAGCCUAAUGGGCACUGGACUCGCAUUAGGAAAACAGCCAGAAUGUGGGCAGGCAGCCCCUCCCCUGGGGCAUCAGCCUGUCCCGUCUAACUAAAGAGCACUGUACAAAUUAACCUUCACUCUGACAGAGAUGCGGCACCCAUUGCGGCCGGGGCGGGAUGCCUGCGUCUGCACCCCAGCUGUGCGGGCCUCUGGCCGGAGACGGAGUGCGGGGCAC